GCCGAUAAACCUCCGCCUACGCC
rnacentral:siRNA from 1 species